rnacentral:rRNA from 1 species
GAUGAACGCUGGCGGCGUGCUUAACACAUGCGAGUCGAACGGAAAGGCCCAAGCUUUCUUGGGUUCUCGAGUGGCGAACGGGUGAGUAACACGUGGGUGAUCUGCCCUGCACUUCGGGAUAAGCCUGGGAAACUGGGUCUCAUACCGGAUAGGACCACAUUUUGGAUGGUGUGGUGGAGAGUUUUGCGGUGUGGGAUGAGCUCGGGGCCUAUACGCUUGUUGGUGGGGUAAUGGCUUACCAAGGCGUCGACGGGUAGCCGGCCUGAGAGGGUGUACGGCCACAUUGGGACUGAGCGACGGCCCGGAGUCCUACGGGAGGCAGCAGGGGGGAAUGUUGCACGAUGGGCGCAAGCCUGAUGCAGCGACGCCGCGUGGGGGAUGACGGCCUUCGGGUUGGAAGCUCCUUUCGCUAGGGACGAAGCGUUAUGUGACGGUACCUGGAGAAGAAGCACCGGCUAACUACGUG